AGAGCCCCAGCCCGGCCAGCCAGCCAGGACGGUUCCCUUCCACCCACCAGCGAAUUGAAGCGCCGAACGCCGGCGUAGUACUUUCCGCAACGUCGGAUCACACCCUAGGCCCGCCGCGCCGCGCCGUUCCCUGGAGCAGCGGCCCCGCCGCCCGCGCCUCGGCCAUGGGUUCCGCCCUCUCAUUUCCACCUCCUCGGACCUACCCCUCCGAAUACAACCCAA
rnacentral:lncRNA from 1 species